GCCAACGGCCAUACCACGUUGAACACACCAGUUCUCGUCCGAUCACUGAAGUUAAGCAACGUCGCCCCGGUUAGUACUUGGAUGGGUGACCGCCUGGGAAUCCUGGGUGCUGUUGGUA
rnacentral:rRNA from 1 species